rnacentral:rRNA from 1 species
GACGUAGGGCGCAAGCGUUGUCCGGAAUUAUUGGGCGUAAAGAGCUCGUAGGCGGCUUGUUGCGUCGACUGUGAAAACCCGUGGCUCAACCAUGUGGUCUGCAGUCGAUACGGGCAGGCUAGAAUUCGGUAGGGGAGACUGGAAUUCCUGGUGUAGCGGUGAAAUGCGCAGAUAUCAGGAGGAACACCAGUGGCGAAGGCGGUUGCCUGGAGCUUUGCUGACGCUGAGGCGCGAAAGCGUGGGGAGCGAUCCGG